rnacentral:rRNA from 1 species
CUACGGGAUGCAGCAGUGGGGAAUAUUGGACAAUGGGGGAAACCCUGAUCCAGCAAUGCCGCGUGUGUGAAGAAGGCCUGCGGGUUGUAAAGCACUUUCGGUUGGGAGGACUGCUUCUAGCACUAAUAUUGUUGGAAGUUGACGUUACCUUCAGAAGAAGCACCGGCUAACUCCGUGCCAGCAGCCGCGGUAAUACGGAGGGUGCAAGCGUUAAUCGGAAUUACUGGGCGUAAAGCGCGCGUAGGCGGCUAGAUCAGUCGGGUGUGAAAGCCCCGGGCUUAACCUGGGAACUGCAUCCGAUACUGUCUAGCUUGAGUACAGGAGAGGAGAGUGGAAUUCCACAUGUAGCGGUGAAAUGCGUAGAUAUGUGGAGGAACACCAAUGGCGAAGGCAGCUCUCUGGCCUGAUACUGACGUUGAGGUGCGAAAGCGUGGGGAGCAAACCGGAUUAGAUACCCUGGUAGUC